GGUGGAGCAUGUGGUUUAAUUCGAUGCAACGCGAAGAACCUUACCUACUCUUGACAUCCAGAGAACUUAGCAGAGAUGCUUUGGUGCCUUCGGGAACUCUGAGACAGGUGCUGCAUGGCUGUCGUCAGCUCGUGUUGUGAAAUGUUGGGUUAAGUCCCGCAACGAGCGCAACCCUUAUCCUUUGUUGCCAGCGGUUAGGCCGGGAACUCAAAGGAGACUGCCAGUGAUAAACUGGAGGAAGGUGGGGAUGACGUCAAGUCAUCAUGGCCCUUACGAGUAGGGCUACACACGUGCUACAAUGGCGCAUACAAAGAGAAGCGACCUCGCGAGAGCAAGCGGACCUCAUAAAGUGCGUCGUAGUCCGGAUUGGAGUCUGCAACUCGACUCCAUGAAGUCGGAAUCGCUAGUAAUCGUGGAUCA
rnacentral:rRNA from 1 species